GACGAACGCUGGCGGCGCGCUUAAACACAUGCAAGUCGAACGAGACCUUCGGGUCGUAGUGGCGCACGGGUGAGUAACGCGUGGGAACCUACCCCGAGGUACGGGAUAACGGAGGGAAACUUCCGCUAAUACCGUAUGUUCCGGAGACGGCAAAGAUUUAUCGCCUUGGGACGGGCCCGCGUUGAAUUAGCUUGUUGGUGGGGUAAUGGCCUACCAAGGCUACGAUCUAUAGCUGGUCUGAGAGGAUGAU
rnacentral:rRNA from 1 species